rnacentral:rRNA from 1 species
CUUUUGAUGGCGACCGGCGCACGGGUGAGUAACACGUAUCCAACCUGCCUCAUACUCGGGGAUAGCCUUUCGAAAGAAAGAUUAAUACCCGAUGUCAUAGUCCUACCGCAUGAUGGGAUUAUUAAAGAAUUUCGGUAUGGGAUGGGGAUGCGUCCCAUUAGUUAGUUGGCGGGGUAACGGCCCACCAAGACAACGAUGGAUAGGGGUUCUGAGAGGAAGGUCCCCCACAUUGGAACUGAGACACGGUCCAAACUCCUACGGAAGGCAGCAG